rnacentral:rRNA from 1 species
UACGAAGGGGGCUAGCGUUGCUCGGAAUCAUUGGGCGUAAAGCGUGUGUAGGCGGCCUUGUAAGUCCGUUCUGAAAGCCCGGGGCUCAACCCCGGGAGGCGGAUGGAUACUGCAAGGCUCGAGUACGGAAGAGGCGAGUGGAAUUCCCGGUGUAGCGGUGAAAUGCGCAGAUAUCGGGAGGAACACCAAUGGCGAAGGCAGCUCGCUGGGACGUUACUGACGCUGAGACGCGAAAGCGUGGGGAGCAAACAGG